UGGGGAAUAUUGCACAAUGGGGGAAACCCUGAUGCAGCGACGCCGCGUGAGCGAAGAAGGUUUUCGAAUCGUAAAGCUCUGUCCUAUGAGAAGAUAAUGACGGUAUCAUAGGAGGAAGCCCCGGCUAAAUACGUGCCAGCAGCCGCGGUAAUACGUAUGGGGCGAGCGUUGUCCGGAAUUAUUGGGCGUAAAGGGUACGUAGGCGGUCUAUUAAGUCAGGUGUGAAAGCGUGAGGCUUAACCUCAUUAAGCACUUGAAACUGAUAGACUUGAGUGAAGGAGAGGAAAGUGGAAUUCCUAGUGUAGCGGUGAAAUGCGUAGAUAUUAGGAGGAAUACCGGUGGCGAAGGCGACUUUCUGGACUUUUACUGACGCUCAGGUACGAAAGCAUGGGGAGCAAACAGG
rnacentral:rRNA from 1 species